rnacentral:rRNA from 1 species
CCGGUGUAAGCCAGGUUGGUUUCUAUCCUUUAGUAAAAUAAAAUAUUUUAGUACGAAAGGAUCAAAUAUUUAAAAUAAUUUUAUUUGGUUGAAUAUUAAUAAUAUUAUUUUUA